GGGAUUGUGGCUCAUUGGUAGAGCGCAUGCCUAGCAUGUGUGAGGCCCUGGGUUUGAUCCUCAGCACCA
rnacentral:tRNA from 1 species